GACAGAGGAUGCAAGCGUUUAUCCCGGGAAUCACUGGGCGUAAAGCGCUGUAGGUUGUUUAAAAAAGUCUUGCAGUUAAAAGGUUGAAGCUUAACUUCAAAAAUGCCGUAGAAACUUUUAAACUAGAGGAUGGUAGGGGUAGAGGGAAAUUUCCAGUGGAGCGGUGAAAUGUGUAGAUAUUGGAAAGACCACCGAUGGCGAAGGCACUCUACUGGGCCAUGACUGACACUGAGAGACGAAAGCUAGGGGAGCAAAUGGG
rnacentral:rRNA from 1 species